CAACCUUAAAGCCCGGCUUUUUAUUGGAUUCUAGUUCUGCUUCGGCGGGACGGGUCCGAAAUAGAUUAAUGACGUCGCGAUUUACCACGGAAUCGAGCGAAUGGAAUCAUUAACGCUCUGUUUGAAGUGGCCGACGGUCUUCUGAAGCGGUCAUUCUUGAUCGUCUUUUUAAC
rnacentral:misc_RNA from 1 species